AUAGUUUGAUUAUGGCUCAGAACGAACGCUUGGCGGCGUGGAUUAGGCAUGCAAGUCGAACGAGAAAGGUUCCUUCGGGAACUGAGUACAGUGGCAAACGGGUGAGUAACGCGUGGGAAACCUGCCCUUCAGUUGGGGACAACACUCCUAACGGAGUGCUAAUACCGAAUACCAUCCUCUGGUCGCAUGGCCGGAGGAUGAAAGGCGGCCUCUGCUUGCAAGCCGUCGCUGAAGGAUGGUCCCGCGUCCCAUUAGCUAGUUGGUGGGGUAAUGGCCCACCAAGGCAUCGAUGGGUAGCCGGCCUUAGCGGGUGACCGGUCACACUGGGACUGAGAUACGGCCCAGACUCCUACGGGAGGCAGCAGUCGAGAGGCUUCCACAAUGGGGGAAACCCUGAUGGAGCGACGCCGCGUGGAUGAUGACGGCCUUCGGGUUGUAAAGUCCUUUCAGCAGGGACGAUAGAAAUGCGGGGGAAUAUCCCGUGUUUCCAGACGGUACCUGCAGAAGAAGCUCCGGCUAACUCCGUGCCAGCAGCCGCGGUAAGACGGGGGGAGCAAGCGUUGUUCGGAUUUACUGGGCGUAAAGGGCGUCUAGGCGGAUCUGUAAGUCAGAUGUGAAAUCCCCCGGCUCAACCGGGGAACUGCAUUUGAUACUGCAAGUCUUGAGUACGGAAGAGGGAAGCGGAAUUCCUGGUGUAGCGGUGAAAUGCGUAGAUAUCAGGAAGAACACCGGUGGCGAAGGCGGCUUCCUGGUCCGUUACUGA
rnacentral:rRNA from 1 species